CCUACGGGGGGCAGCAGUGGGGGAUAUUGCACAAUGGACGAGAGUCUGAACCAGCCAAGUAGCGUGAAGGAUGACUGCCCUAUGGGUUGUAAACUUCUUUUAUAUGGGAAUAAAAUGUUCCACGUGUGGGAUUUUGUAUGUACCAUAUGAAUAAGGAUCGGCUAACUCCGUGCCAGCAGCCGCGGUAAUACGGAGGAUCCGAGCGUUAUCCGGAUUUAUUGGGUUUAAAGGGAGCGUAGGUGGAUUGUUAAGUCAGUUGUGAAAGUUUGCGGCUCAACCGUAAAAUUGCAGUUGAAACUGGCAGUCUUGAGUACAGUAGAGGUGGGCGGAAUUCGUGGUGUAGCGGUGAAAUGCUUAGAUAUCACGAAGAACUCCGAUUGCGAAGGCAGUUCACUGGACUGCAACUGACACUGAGGCUCGAAAGUGUGGGUAUCAAACAGGAUUAGAUACCCCUGUAGUC
rnacentral:rRNA from 1 species